AGGGCGCUCGCUGCCGCCGCGGCCCGCGGUGGAGGGGCUGCGCCGGGGCUGCCGCCGCUUGCCGGGGAGCGAAGCCGCGGGAAUCGGUGCGCUUGCUGCUGACUUCCUGGCUGUGCUUCAGUGGUGGGCGACUGAAUUUAGUCUUCUCUGCAUGGCAAUGAUAAUAGUAAUGUGACGUUUAAUGAGCACCUGUGAAGUCCUGUAGCAGCCAAAGUUGAAAUGCAGUCUGAAGGCCCUGGCUAAAGUCCAUCCAACCUCCUUGUUGAGCCAUAGAUACUUCACAGCUGGAACAAGUGCUGGUUGCGAAUUCGAACGCAGAAGGAGUUGUGGGAGGAAAUGCUGACCGAGAGGGGUAUGUCUGCAUCGUAAGUCAUCCAR
rnacentral:lncRNA from 1 species